CCACAUCAAACAGACAAUAGAGACAGAGGAAGAGGAGGGGGGAUGAAAGAAUGGGAGAGAGAGACUGGCAGAAGAGAGACCCGGGGAGCGAGGCCCGUUUAAAUGGGAAUAAUAAGCUUCUAUCUCAGGCAAUUAAGUCUGCAUUUGAUACUUAUCUCAGAGCAGAGGUCCACUGUGCCAUCUAAAGAAAAUGUUUGCGUUUGAAAAACUCCAUCACAUAAACAAGAUAAGCAGGAGAACACGUUUGCGUGCCGCCUGUCGGACCAAACCUCGGCUUUGUUCUUGGUGGAUACGUUUCUCUGAGGCAGGUUUACUGGACCACAUGCUGCUGGUUCCAGAAAGGCAGAAAACGGUCGGGACAUGGAGGCCCCUCUGACGCUCAGAGCCAACGCCACCUCGAGGUCACGACCCCGGCCAGAGUUCACGGGGUCGGGUCAAUCAGAGGGGAAUGUUAUCCAAAGCAUCACAGUUUAUUUGUUUAAUUUUUCUUCAAACCCCGGUGUCUGCCUCUGAUCAAGAUGACGGUGGAUUACUCGAAGAGGAGGAGAGAAAAUUGAAGGAGAGAGAGAGCCUACUGCUUCAAAUUAGGAGGGUUUUUGAUUGCACGCUGCCAACUUUACCUCGACAUCCCAGAAGGCAGAUGGAGUAUUAAGUAAUGACCAAUACAAGUUGGAAAUGGAACGACGAGCACAGAAACACCAUCGACACAAGAGUUUAAGGCCUCACCCUUCACGGCCCUCUGAAACCCGAGCCCACAGAUUGAUGGGGGGCCGACUCUCAUUUGGACCGGGAGAAAAAGUGGCCACUUUAAGGGCAGCUACUGUAUUUUAAACACCACGGGUGUUAAAGAGACUGAUGAGCCUGGUGGCAGCAGUGGAUGCUUGGGAACGCCAUUGAGAGAAAAGGGGGUAGAGGAAGGGGGGGGAGGAGGAGGGGAAUAAAUCUGCGUGUUGGCGGGAAUCGAUCGUUUCUCCCUCUUCCCCGCGCUAUCUCAUCUGCAGGGGCUGAGAGCGGUUUAAACGAUCCUGACCUUGUCCGACAUAAAUAGUCAGAAAAGUCCACAGAGCUGAUAGCUUUGUGUAAGGGGGGGAGAAAAGAGGUAAGGGGACGCAUUGAGAUAAGAAGGGGGGGUUGAAUGAGAUAAUGCCAUAGCGUUACUACAUCAGAGUCCAUGUCGCUCACAUGCAAAGACUUCGCCGUGGGAAAAAGCCUUGCUUCCUGUCUCCCCCUCCUUCUUCCCUAUCUCUCCCUCAUUCAGAUCAGAAAAAGAAGGGAGUGAAGAAUAACCAUAGUGAAAAAAACAAGCAGGCAUUUUUAUAUAAAUACUUGGGUGUAAUGAUAGAAUAUCUUCUAUCCUAGAAAGAACAAAUUGAAUAGAUAUGCAAAAGAACAAAACUAAGAAUGUAGUUUCUCCUUCGCCUUAGAUCUUUUUACAAUCAAAUGUACAUCUUUGAUUUUGAGUGUAUUGAGUGAUUUUACAGUAUUGUAAUACUACAUCUGAAAAUCUACCCAAAGAUUGUAAAAACUCUAUGAACCACCUCACAAUAAUAAUGUUUUGAGGCUUGCUAACAACAUUGUUUUUGAUCCAAACAUGUCCCAAACAGUGAAUAUGAAUUGUUCACCAUCAGGGUCCCAUGAACUUUUAAUAAAUCAUGAGUCAGGGUCCCAUGAUUUAUUAAAAGUUAGACUUAAGCCCACUUUAGUGCACCAGUUAAUACUAAAAUUAAAUUCAGUCAAUCAAAUGGACGUUAAAUGGUAUUGAACGUACUGUCCUCAGUGAUUCUGAUGUUUGGUCAAAUAUCAGUUUACUUGUUUUGUAAUAUUUGUGUGAUGCUCGAAACACGUUAGACUACAUCUGACAGUAAAGAAUUAUCAUAUCGUAGGAGGAGGAAAGUCUUUACUCGUCACCUUUCUCGCCAUGAUUACCUGAAAGAAGGAUGGAGGAAGUCAAUUGGCUCCCAUGAACACCCCUUCUGCACUCCUGAGGAAGACGUGAGUGUUUUAAAGUAAGAAAGGAGCUCUUUUGUGCAGCGCCCCUCUUCUUUUCUUUUGAGUGUAAUGCCGCUGUACCUGACAGUGGCGCUGCCCCGGGUAAAGGCAGAAAUCUCUCCCUCCAUUGUCACCUGUUCCUCUAAUCAUUUUCCGCCCUUCAUGCCACAAUGGAGGAGGGCGAUAACGAUAACGAGGUGAAGCUAAUACAGAGCGGCGGCGGGGCCCCUGAACACAAUGAUCAGAUGUCUUCACUCGUUCUGCACACUCACACACCGUUAUACCUUUUAAUGCAGAACUACACACAUUUAGUAUUUUCUCUUCAGUCAGACUCACACAGCCAUUUCAUUAGAGCGCAAACUGUCAAACCACCCUCACAUACAGCUUCACACUUUACACAGUUUCAUUGUGAAAUAUAAUAACAGAAUAAUAACAUUGUGUAUUUUUUUUCUGUGCUUUGUUUGAAGUAGUGGCUUUUAACUGGCUGCUGGUUUGAGUCCUGGUAUUGCGUAGCAAAAUGUCUGAAAAGCAGGGCCUCAACGCUAACCUGGUUACCAUGAUCUUUGUGCCAAAAGCAAACAUAUAAGGUCUUAAACUGUGAGAUGAAGAUUAAAGAUCGAGUUAUAU